rnacentral:rRNA from 1 species
UUCCAGGAAAAGCCUCUAAGCAUCAGGUAACAUCAAAUCGUACCCCAAACCGACACAGGUGGUCAGGUAGAGAAUACCAAGGCGCUUGAGAGAACUCGGGUGAAGGAACUAGGCAAAAUGGUGCCGUAACUUCGGGAGAAGGCACGCUGGUGUGUAGGUGAAGCCCCUGCGGGUGGAGCUGAGACCAGUCGAAGAUACCAGCUGGCUGCAACUGUUUAUUAAAAACACAGCACUGUGCAAACACGAAAGUGGACGUAUACGGUGUGACGCCUGCCCGGUGCCGGAAGGUUAAUUGAUGGGGUUAUCCGUAAGGAGAAGCUCUUGAUCGAA